rnacentral:rRNA from 1 species
GUUAAGCGACUAAGCGUACACGGUGGAUGCCCUGGCAGUCAGAGGCGAUGAAGGACGUGCUAAUCUGCGAUAAGCGUCGGUAAGGUGAUAUGAACCGUUAUAACCGGCGAUUUCCGAAUGGGGAAACCCAGUGUGUUUCGACACACUAUCAUUAACUGAAUCCAUAGGUUAAUGAGGCGAACCGGGGGAACUGAAACAUCUAAGUACCCCGAGGAAAAGAAAUCAACCGAGAUUCCCCCAGUAGCGGCGAGCGAACGGGGAGCAGCCCAGAGCCUGAAUCAGUGUGUGUGUUAGUGGAAGCGUCUGGAAAGGCGCGCGAUACAGGGUGACAGCCCCGUACACAAAAAUGCACAUGCUGUGAGCUCGAUGAGUAGGGCGGGACACGUGGUAUCCUGUCUGAAUAUGGGGGGACCAUCCUCCAAGGCUAAAUACUCCUGACUGACCGAUAGUGAACCAGUACCGUGAGGGAAAGGCGAAAAGAACCCCGGCGAGGGGAGUGAAAAAGAACCUGAAACCGUGUACGUACAAGCAGUGGGAGCACGCUUAGGCGUGUGACUGCGUACCUUUUGUAUAAUGGGUCAGCGACUUAUAUUCUGUAGCAAGGUUAACCGAAUAGGGGAGCCGAAGGGAAACCGAGUCUUAACUGGGCGUUAAGUUGCAGGGUAUAGACCCGAAACCCGGUGAUCUAGCCAUGGGCAGGUUGAAGGUUGGGUAACACUAACUGGAGGACCGAACCGACUAAUGUUGAAAAAUUAGCGGAUGACUUGUGGCUGGGGGUGAAAGGCCAAUCAAACCGGGAGAUAGCUGGUUCUCCCCGAAAGCUAUUUAGGUAGCGCCUCGUGAAUUCAUCUCCGGGGGUAGAGCACUGUUUCGGCAAGGGGGUCAUCCCGACUUACCAACCCGAUGCAAACUGCGAAUACCGGAGAAUGUUAUCACGGGAGACACACGGCGGGUGCUAACGUCCGUCGUGAAGAGGGAAACAACCCAGACCGCCAGCUAAGGUCCCAAAGUCAUGGUUAAGUGGGAAACGAUGUGGGAAGGCCCAGACAGCCAGGAUGUUGGCUUAGAAGCAGCCAUCAUUUAAAGAAAGCGUAAUAGCUCACUGGUCGAGUCGGCCUGCGCGGAAGAUGUAACGGGGCUAAACCAUGCACCGAAGCUGCGGCAGCGACACUAUGUGUUGUUGGGUAGGGGAGCGUUCUGUAAGCCUGUGAAGGUGUGCUGUGAGG